rnacentral:rRNA from 1 species
GAUGAACGCUGGCGGCGUGCCUAAUACAUGCAAGUCGAGCGAACAGACGAGGAGCUUGCUCCUCUGACGUUAGCGGCGGACGGGUGAGUAACACGUGGAUAACCUACCUAUAAGACUGGGAUAACUUCGGGAAACCGGAGCUAAUACCGGAUAAUAUAUUGAACCGCAUGGUUCAAUAGUGAAAGACGGUUUUGCUGUCACUUAUAGAUGGAUCCGCGCCGCAUUAGCUAGUUGGUAAGGUAACGGCUUACCAAGGCAACGAUGCGUAGCCGACCUGAGAGGGUGAUAGCCCACACUGGAACUGAGACACGGUCCAGACUCCUACGGGAGGCAGCAGUAGGGAAUCUUCCGCAAUGGGCGAAAGCCUGACGGAGCAACGCCGCGUGAGUGAUGAAGGUCUUCGGAUCGUAAAACUCUGUUAUUAGGGAAGAACAAAUGUGUAAGUAACUAUGCACGUCUUGACGGUACCUAAUCAGAAAGCCACGGCUAACUACGUG